CUGUAAGCUGCAAUUUAAAAAUGGUUCAUUUUUAGGCUUCAGUUCCCAUUUAACAAGCACCCCACAAGCUUUUCACGAAGUCCGCUAGUGUUCAGUCCGCCCGCGCCCGUUAGCGGAAGGUAUAGGAGUGAUGUUGCUUCUAUUUCCUCUUUUUAAAAAAUCUUUCUUUAUUUCAGUUCAAUUUCAGGUGCACGCUUUUAUUUCAAUUCGGAUGAUUUAAAUUUUACUGCCGCAAUGUGUUAGUCGCGCGUACGAAAUAAAGUGACUCUAUAUGUUAUAACUUGUUUUGUUGUUUCUUCGACAUUGAAUCGAUUUGAACUAAUUUUGAGGGUUGACGGGAAAACUGUCAGAACAAGGGAUCUAGCACUCGAGAUGUUCUUAAAGCAGCGCCAAUGAGAGCUGACUGGCAGUCAAUGGUCCGUGUGACGCGCGAUUCGCCACGCGUGAUGUGCGUCUAUUAUGACAAUGUCCAUAGUAACCGCCUUUUGACAGAUCAAAGAUCAUUACCACACAUUGUUCUCAAAAGACUGAGUCUGCGCAAAGAUCAUGCCCUGCUAAACAAACAACCAGUUAUGUUAAUCAGUUAAUUCAAUUAAUAUUUUGACUGACAAGACUGAUCAUAACAAGUUCCGUGCCAUUGAUUUCAAUAACAUUUGAAAGCGAAAACAAAAUGACAAAAAUCCCUGAUACCAACGUGAUAACUUGUUUCCGUGUGAAAUAAAAUUAGGAAAGGGCGCCUCAUUCUCAAAGUGUUGUUUGUCCUACUUAAAAGCUGUUCGUUGUAGUCAUUGAUUUAUAGGCGGUUUGACUAAUUAUCUGCUGAGUUUUUUAACGUAAUUGAUCAGAAUGAAAAUAGGGGGCACAAGGUCAGGAUCUAGAAACGUUCAGCCUUGCAUAUUUGCAAGCGCAUGAUUUGUUUUAGGCAAUAUGAAAAAGCUCAAAAUGUUGACCUUGUAUGUCAGUUUCUUGACUGUACUUGCUGCUAUUCCUUCUCGAAACCGACUGAAGGUAAUAAGCAGCUUGUUGAGGGAUCAAACCUUAGCCUUAAGGGACAGGAGACUUUUGGACUCUUUGUAAAUGGGUGAUUUGGCUUUCAGCUCACAAGGCGUUCCUGGCGGAAUUCUGGAUGGCCUGGUCGCUUGUUCAGAAGCGCAUCUCUUACGAAUACGUAUGCCACUUCUGCAACUACUGCACAUGUCGUGAAGAGUGCUUUUAGUUCUGAAGAAAUGGAUAGCUCUACGAAUACAGCGCUCCGCGAUUUCGCUGAUCGCCUUCUACAAACGGCUCAAUUGCUUUGCAGGGCGUCAAAUCCAUCAAACUCAUCAAAUACGAGUGCAAACGCUAAUCCUAUGACGUUGGUACCAGCACCUCAACAGACCAACUCGGUACCAUCUACAAGCCGUUCCGUUCGUGCAGAACACCAACUUUUAUUUGGAUACCAGCCACCAGCUGUUACUGGUAUCAGACAGUCCUCUAGUAGAAGUUCUAGAGCGAGAGUACGGCCAUACAAUUCUGGGAGACCAACCGGUCAAACUUGGUCGCGUGCGUUUGUAUGCCUUGCUUCGUCGACAUCAGAGCAAUUACCAACGCCAGGAGAACGCGUACGUCUGGCAAUCAACAACCUCGAGGAAAAAAAAAAUCGAGUUCCCCAAAAGUGGAAAGGGAAGUGACGUGCACAGAUGUAUAAUAGAGACUUUUCCAGAGCUUGCUCGUCUUGGCUAUUCAUUAUGCGCACCACAAGCGAAAGUGGCAGGUCUAAAGAUUUGAUGAAUCUGCCAAUGCCCUCGAAUGGCUUUUCAGUGGAGUACUUGAAAAGCGUCCUGGGCCAGGCAAAGGCCAACCUAAGGCCUAUGCAGGGGGAUAUACCUCUCGAAGACAAGGAUCAUAAGGUGAGCUGUUUUGUGAAAAAAUCGGUUAUUAAUAUUCUGGCAUUCCUAGUGAAAUAUCAGAGGAUUCUACUCGUGUGGAUAUGAGUGUGUAAAUAUAAAGCCGUGAUUAAAGCCGUGAAGUGAUAUGAUAGCAUGUCACCACACGGGUUGAAUUGCCCAAUCAAGUAGAAUGAAGUAAUUUCAGAUAUUUCAAGUAAGAAACCUAUAUUCUUGUUUAC
rnacentral:misc_RNA from 1 species